rnacentral:rRNA from 1 species
CCUACGGGUGGCAGCAGUGAGGAAUAUUGGUCAAUGGACGAGAGUCUGAACCAGCCAAGUAGCGUGAAGGAUGACUGCCCUAUGGGUUGUAAACUUCUUUUAUAUGGGAAUAAAAUGUUCCACGUGUGGGAUUUUGUAUGUACCAUAUGAAUAAGGAUCGGCUAACUCCGUGCCAGCAGCCGCGGUAAUACGGAGGAUUCGAGCGUUAUCCGGAUUUAUUGGGUUUAAAGGGAGCGUAGGUGGAAUGUUAAGUCAGUUGUGAAAGUGUGCGGCUCAACCCCCAAAUUGCCGUUGAAACUGGCAGUCUUGAGUGCAGUAGAGGUAGGCGGAAUUCGUGGUGUAGCGGUGAAAUGCUUAGAUAUCACGAAGAACUCCGAUUGCGAAGGCAGCUCACUGGACCGCAACUGACGCUGAGGCACGAAAGUGUGGGUAUCGAACAGGAUUAGAUACCCCUGUAGUC